UGGCCGCGGUAUUUUGACCGUGCGAAGGUAGCAUAAUAAAUAGUCCAUUAAUUAUGGUCUGGAAUGAAUGGUUUGACGAAUGGUGGCUUUCUUACUUUUAUGAAUGAAUUUAAAUUAUCAGUAAAAAUGCUGAUAUGAUUUAGAGGGACAAGAAGACCCUGUAGAGCUUUAUAUUUAACUUAAUAUUAUGGUAUAAAAAAUAAGUAAAUAUUUUGUUGGGGCGACAUUGAAUAAUAAACAUUUGAUUUUUAGUCUUUAUAAAAGGUUGAAUGAUCCACUAAUAGUGAUUUGAGAACAAGUUACCUCAGGGAUAACAGCGUAAUUUUGUCUUAGAGUUCUUAUCGAUGACGAAGUUUGCGACCUCGAUGUUGGAUUAAAAUUUCUGUAGGGCGCAAGAGCCUUGAAAGAUAGUCUGUUCGACUAUUAAAGUUUUACA
rnacentral:rRNA from 1 species